UAGCGGCGGACGGGUGAGUAAUGCUUAGGAAUCUGCCUAUUAGUGGGGGACAACAUCUCGAAAGGGAUGCUAAUACCGCAUACGUCCUACGGGAGAAAGCAGGGGACCUUCGGGCCUUGCGCUAAUAGAUGAGCCUAAGUCGGAUUAGCUAGUUGGUGGGGUAAAGGCCUACCAAGGCGACGAUCUGUAGCGGGUCUGAGAGGAUGAUCCGCCACACUGGGACUGAGACACGGCCCAGACUCCUACGGGAGGCAGCAGUGGGGAAUAUUGGACAAUGGGGGGAACCCUGAUCCAGCCAUGCCGCGUGUGUGAAGAAGGCCUUUUGGUUGUAAAGCACUUUAAGCGAGGAGGAGGCUACCGAGAUUAAUACUCUUGGAUAGUGGACGUUACUCGCAGAAUAAGCACCGGCUAACUCUGUGCCAGCAGCCGCGGUAAUACAGAGGGUGCAAGCGUUAAUCGGAUUUACUGGGCGUAAAGCGCGCGUAGGUGGCCAAUUAAGUCAAAUGUGAAAUCCCCGAGCUUAACUUGGGAAUUGCAUUCGAUACUGGUUGGCUAGAGUAUGGGAGAGGAUGGUAGAAUUCCAGGUGUAGCGGUGAAAUGCGUAGAGAU
rnacentral:rRNA from 1 species